rnacentral:lncRNA from 1 species
GGACAGGUAGGACGUUUGCUGGAGGAAGGAGAAGAGUGCCCCAGGCUCUCUAGUGACAGCAUGAAUCUGUGAUCAGUAGGGUGUAUCUGUGGAUGCAUGAUGAAUUUGUUGAUGGUGAAUGGAUGGAUGGAUAGAAGAUGGAUGGAUAAUGAAUGGAUGGAUGCUAUAUCUGUGGGUGGAUGGGUAGAUGAUGGAUGGAUGAACAUACAGACAGAUGUAUGGAUAGAUUUGUGGGUGGAAAGAUGGGAGCUCAGCUGUGGUGGGGAAAGCACAGGCUUCAGAGCAUCCCAGAAGGACAGCCCACCUGUCUCCAGUCCUGCCCGAUGGAGAAAGAGCAGGGAACAGGAGCCCUCAAGUCAUUGUCCUAUGAAACAGUGCUGUGUCACUGAGUGCCCACUCAGCCACUGGCACUGGUCCACACAUACCUG